ACCCUGCCCAUGCUGAUGAGCAGAAGCAGCUUGAAGUGGCUAAGGGACAUAUUGUUUCCCUUCCUUACCCUAGAAGUGGAGGAUGUGCUCCCACACUAGGUGUACAGCCACACCUGCCCGGCCUCGCACUCACCCAGUGGAGGGGCCCCGGCUGUGGUCCUGUGCUAGCGGCGUGGGCCAGGCAGGAGCCCGAAGCCUGAGUCAGAGCUUCUAUGUGCCAGCUGACUUUUCUAUUUCACUUCCUGGAAUGUCUCUCUGCCAAAUACAGAAUGCAUUGGACCAGA
rnacentral:lncRNA from 1 species